rnacentral:rRNA from 1 species
GAUUAACGCUGGCGGCGUGCAUAACACAUGCAAGUCGAACGAUGAAACUUAACUGAUUUCUUCGGAAUGAUUUUAAGUGGAUUAGUGGCGGACGGGUGAGUAACGCGUGAGUAACCUGCCUUGGAGAAGGGGAUAGCCUUUGGAAACGAAGAAUAAUACCCUAUGAUAUGAUAAUAUCUCAUGAUAUUAUCAUCAAAGAUUUAUCGCUCUAAGAUGGACUUGCGUCUGAUUAGUUAGUUGGUGAGGUAACAGCUCACCAAGGCAGCGAUCAGUAGCCGGCUUGAGGGAGUGUACGGCCACAUUGGGACUGAGACACGGCCCAGACUCCUACGGGAGGCCGCAGGGGGGAAGUUUGCACAAUGGGGGAAACCCUGAUGCAGCGACGCCGCGUGAUUUAGAAGGCCUUCGGGUUGUAAAAAUCUUUUGUAUGGGAAGAAAAUGACAGUACCAUACGAAUAAGGACCGGCUAAUUACGUG